GAUGAACGCUGGCGGCGUGCCUAACACAUGCAAGUCGAGCGAAGUUUAGAGGAAGUGCUUGCACGGAAUCGAAGACUUAGCGGCGGACGGGUGAGUAACGCGUGAGCAACCUACCUUUCACAGGGGAAUAACAACGGGAAACCGUUGCUAAUACCGCAUGAUAUUAAGAGAAGACAUCUUCUUUUAAUCAAAGGAGCAAUCCGGUGAAAGAUGGGCUCGCGUCCGAUUAGCUAGUUGGUAAGGUAAAGGCUUACCAAGGCAACGAUCGGUAGCCGAACUGAGAGGUUGACCGGCCACAUUGGGACUGAGACACGGCCCAGACUCCUACGGGAGGCAGCAGUGGGGAAUAUUGGGCAAUGGGCGAAAGCCUGACCCAGCAACGCCGCGUGAAGGAUGAAGGCCUUAGGGUUGUAAACUUCUUUGAUCAGGGAAGAAAAAAAUGACGGUACCUGAAGAACAAGCCACGGCUAACUACGUGCCAGCAGCCGCGGUAAUACGUAGGUGGCAAGCGUUAUCCGGAUUUACUGGGUGUAAAGGGCGUGCAGGCGGGUUUGUAAGUCAGAUGUGAAAUCUCCAGGCUUAACUUGGAAACUGCAUCUGAAACUACAAAUCUUGAGUACUGGAGAGGAUAGUGGAAUUCCUAGUGUAGCGGUAAAAUGCGUAGAUAUUAGGAGGAACACCAGUGGCGAAGGCGGCUAUCUGGACAGUAACUGACGCUGAGGCGCGAAAGCGUGGGUAGCAAACAGG
rnacentral:rRNA from 1 species